UACGUAGGGUGCGAGCGUUGUCCGGAAUUAUUGGGCGUAAAGAGCUCGUAGGCGGUGUGUCGCGUCGGCCGUGAAAACUUGCAGCUUAACUGUGGGCGUGCGGUCGAUACGGGCAUCACUGGAGUUCGGCAGGGGAGACUGGAAUUCCCGGUGUAGUGGUGAAAUGCGUAGAUAUCGGGAGGAACACCAGUGGCGAAGGCGACUUCCUGGCCUGUUCUUGACGCUGAGGCGCGAAAGCUAGGGGAGCAAACGGG
rnacentral:rRNA from 1 species